AUUUUUGGAGUUGAUUUGCUAUUUAAAUUAAAUCGAACAAAAACAGGACAGAAACAAAUUUUAAGUAGUUCACAAAUUAAGAAAAACGAGUUAGGAGAAUUGCUAUCCACCACCAAAUAAUCAUGCAAACAUGUUAUGUUUCAUUCAAAUUCCUUUUAUUUCAAGAUGAAGAUGCUCAAGUUGGCUCAAUGUUAGGACUCAACCUAUUACUCUUUCUUAUGUAGUAUGUUAAGAGAAUGACGUUUUCAACUUAACUUAGUCCCUAGCAUGCAAUCUAUAAUGGCGUGUUCAUAGAUUUAA
rnacentral:lncRNA from 1 species